GGUCCCUAUCCGUCGUGGGCGUAGGAAAUUUGAGAGGAGCUGUCCUUAGUACGAGAGGACCGGGAUGGACACACCGCUGGUGUACCAGUUGUCUUGCCAAAGGCAUCGCUGGGUAGCUAUGUGUGGACGGGAUAAGUGCUGAAAGCAUCUAAGCAUGAAGCCCCCCUCAAGAUGAGAUUUCCCAUAGCGUAAGCUAGUAAGAUCCCUGAAAGAUGAUCAGGUUGAUAGGUCAGAGGUGGAAGCGUGGCGACAUGUGUAGCUGACUGAUACUAAUCGAUCGAGGACUUAACCAAAC
rnacentral:rRNA from 1 species